rnacentral:rRNA from 1 species
CCUACGGGCGGCUGCAGUGGGGAAUAUUGGACAAUGGGGGCAACCCUGAUCCAGCCAUGCCGCGUGUGUGAAGAAGGCCCUCGGGUUGUAAAGCACUUUCAGUGAGGAAGAACGCCUGGUGGUUAAUACCCAUCAGUAAAGACAUCACUCACAGAAGAAGCACCGGCUAACUCCGUGCCAGCAGCCGCGGUAAUACGGAGGGUGCGAGCGUUAAUCGGAAUUACUGGGCGUAAAGCGCGCGUAGGUGGCUUGAUAAGCCGGUUGUGAAAGCCCCGGGCUCAACCUGGGAACGGCAUCCGGAACUGUCAAGCUAGAGUGCAGGAGAGGAAGGUAGAAUUCCCGGUGUAGCGGUGAAAUGCGUAGAGAUCGGGAGGAAUACCAGUGGCGAAGGCGGCCUUCUGGACUGACACUGACACUGAGGUGCGAAAGCGUGGGUAGCAAACAGGAUUAGAUACCCUAGUAGUC